rnacentral:antisense_RNA from 1 species
UGGCGGCAGCGCUCUUCGGUCAGCGUCAGGCAGAUCAGGCCCCGUCCGUAGCGGGCCAUGAAAUUGAUGGCCUCGGGCGUGACGAACUCGGCUGCCAUGA